rnacentral:lncRNA from 1 species
GUCACCCAGACCGGAAGUACAAACAUUUUGCUGUAAAAUAAAAAUAUAUAUACCUCGAAAAGGGACAUGUAGUAGCAAGUGCUAGCUAGUAGGAAGACAAACAGAAAGUAGUGUGUGUGUGUGUGGGGUGCAGUUUCGGGGGCCGUAGAAGGCAUGCAUGGGCUGGCGUUCCCUCCCUCGUGUCGCCAUGCCUGCACUCUGCAGCCUUGAGAUUCCAGGGAAUUUUUACUGGAUUCCUUGCUGGAGCAGCCACUGCGCUUUGCUUGCUUGCAGUGAAAUCCUCCGUAUUCCAUUAUUAUUCCUGGCGCUGGCAGCAGCCAGCAGCUAGUAGCAGGCUGGCUGGCUUUCUCUCUCUCUCUCACGUCCGGUCCACCGUGGCAGUGGCACCGUCCAUCCAUGACGUGAGCGAGAAGGCGAGUGAGAUCAGAUGCCCAGAUCUGCAGAGAGGGGGGAGGGGACUGGAGAGGCCGGGGACGAGCCUCAUGGGUCUGAUUGGUGGGUCCCACUCCCGCAUGCAUCAUGUAUGCACCGGCCGGCCGGCCGGCCUACCUGUCACCGCCUCUCGCUGCGGGGGCUACAGGCCUGCCUGCCUGCCUGUCAGUGGCCCUCCCUUGUUGCCUUGUCCCGACCUAUUAAUUGAUGCAUGACAGAUCGAUCCAUGGAUGGAUGGGUAGAUUAGAUCAAUCAUCGGUGUGGGUGUGGAGCGACGGCUUGAGACGUGUGUUUUUCGGCUGUAAUCGGGAGAAAGAAAAAGAGAAUGGUUGAACUUUCAAUUCUAUUGUUUUCAUACUUUUGUUUUUAAAAUUAUCACAAAGACUUCGUUUGUUUGUAAGCUGAUUUCUCUAGUCGGUUGUGAUUCAUGAGGACACAGCAACUUAGAGAAAUAUGUUUUAGUUAUACUGUUCUUUUUUUAUAUAGCCUGUCUCCAUCUAUGUAAUACAAGCAGCAUUAUCUUCGCAGUUAAUCGUGGAUGAUUUGGUGGGAACCAAUUCCACU